CCCGCUGAACUUAAGCAUAUCAAUAAGCGGAGGAAAAGAAACUAACAAGGAUUCCCCUAGUAACUGCGAGUGAAGCGGGAAAAGCUCAAAUUUAAAAUCUGGUGGUCUUUGGCCAUCCGAGUUGUAAUUUAGAGAAGCGUUUUCCGUGUUGGACCGUGUAUAAGUCUCUUGGAACAGGGCGUCAUAGAGGGUGAGAAUCCCGUCUUUGACACGGACUACCAAUGCUUUGUGAUGCGCUCUCAAAGAGUCGAGUUGUUUGGGAAUGCAGCUCAAAAUGGGUGGUAAAUUCCAUCUAAAGCUAAAUAUAGGCGAGAGACCGAUAGCGAACAAGUACCGUGAGGGAAAGAUGAAAAGCACUUUGGAAAGAGAGUUAAACAGUACGUGAAAUUGCUGAAAGGGAAACGCUUGAAGUCAGUCACGUCUGCCAGGACUCAGCCUUGCUUCUGCUUGGUGUACUUUCUGGUUUGAUGGGCCAACAUCAAUUUUGACCGUUGGAGAAAGGCUUUGGGAAUGUGGCACCUUCGGGUGUGUUAUAGCCCUUUGUUGUAUGCAACGGUUGGGAUUGAGGACUGCAGCACGCCUUUAUGGCCGGGGUUCGCCCACGUACGUGCUUGGGAUGUUGGCAUAAUGGCUUUAAGCGACCCGUCUUGAAACACGG
rnacentral:rRNA from 1 species